UACGAAGGGUGCAAGCGUUACUCGGAAUUACUGGGCGUAAAGCGUGCGUAGGUGGUGAGUUAAGUCUGUCGUGAAAGCCCCGGGCUCAACCUGGGAAUGGCGAUGGAUACUGGCUCGCUAGAGUGCGGUAGAGGAGAGUGGAAUUCCCGGUGUAGCAGUGAAAUGCGUAGAGAUCGGGAGGAACAUCAGUUGCGAAGGCGGCUCUCUGGACAAAUCCUGACGCUGAGGCGCGAAGGCUAGGGGAGCAAACGGG
rnacentral:rRNA from 1 species